AAUCGAUUGUAUCUCAUACUAAAGAAUCGAUUUUCUGUAGAUAUUUUAAACUUCGAUUAAUAUUUAAAUCGAUUAUUUUUUACGAGAAUCGGCUAAAAAAAUCAAUACCCGUUUAGAAAAAUCUAGUGACUUUAGCCACAUUUGCGUGGUACUGGUUACCGUGCUGUGCAUUGAAUGUUGUUCUGUGUGUGGUUCUUUGGUUUUGCUGUUGCUAUGGUUACCUAUCGUAUGUGCAUGUGAAAUACUGAAAUGCCUAGAUUGAAGAUUUGGCGGAAGUGGUAAAAUCCCCCUUUUUUAUAUUAGGAUGUCGAUGCCAACGUCCAAAUCUAUUAAACGAUAUUUUACAAAAAUCGAUGCAAUAUCCUCAAGAUGUAGAUUUUGUCUCAAAAUAGUUAAAAAUCAUAGUAAUACUACUAAUUUGCUCAGCCACAUGAAAAGGAAGCAUCCUAUGAUCCCUUUGAAUCAGAAAUCGAUAAUGAAUGUAGAAUCAAAAUCAGAGCAAGAGGAGCCAUGUAAAAAAAGACAAUGUUUCGAGAAGCCCACAUCCCCUAUUAUUCAAUCCGAACCUGGGUGCAGUGGUAGCAGGACAAUUGAAAGAAGUUGUGAUAAUAUAUCGAAUUUAUCAGAAGCAACAACUUUAAGCAUCUUGGAUAGCUCAUCAUUUUCACAUAUCAAAGGAAAACAGAAAAAAGUUACUGAAGUGUUUGAAGAAGUAUCUUCAUAUACAGAAGGUGGUAGAAAUGCCAGUAAGAUUACAAAUGCCAUUUUGUAUAUGCUGGCUGUAGAUAACAUGCCACUGAAAACUGUAGAAAAUAAAGGGUUUAAGAAGUUUUUACAAACUACACUUCCACUGUACAAACUACCAUGCCGAAAAACUUUCACGAAUAUGAUGGAUGAACGGUAUGAAGUUAUUAGCUCUCAAAUUAAAGAAGAUUUUAAGAAUGUUUUAAAUUUCACAAUAACAACGGAUAUAUGGACUGAU